GCUAGACCCUUGGAGGCCAUAGAGAGGCAAAGGUCACUGCUGUUGGCUGAAAUCUAAUCCUCAUUGCAAAUCUCCUUUUCAACUCUACUUUUAAAGAGAGAGGCAGGUCCACAGGAGGAAAACCAGAGUCUUCAUAGAGGGCAGUCUUAUGUCAUGAAGUAAUUGGAAUAGUACAAAUUUCUUAGCAGUUUUUUGUUUUCUUUUAAUUGAUGCUUAAAGGAAUUACAACACUGCUUUGCUGUACCCUAUAGCCUGUGCUAGCGUGAUGUAAUGUAUGUUGCUCCAGGUUGCUGUAGCUAAUUUUCUCUAGUGUUUUGCUUUGGCACCAACAGCAUCCCUCAUUAGUUUCUUUAUUAGUACAUUUAAAUACCUUCUUAGCACCAUUAAGUUGGAAAUGGCUUUAUUCUUCGUUCAGCAGUAUUUGUAUUCAACAUAUUUUCUCAGCGUUCCCUACAAGAUUCCUUACAACAGAUGUUAUGACGCACUUGGAGGAACGUGAACCAAAUUGCAAAGUUUCCCUGGCUCUUCUCCUGCAGCUCAUACCAUUGAUGUGGCAGUAAAGCAUGCGACAGCCCUGCUUGUUGUGCUGCUGGCAGGAGCUUCACAAACUCAACAUCCUCCUGGGAGCAAGUGGGAUGCUGGGCACUGCAGUGAGAAGAUAAAGCAGCAAAAUGGCUCUGAGGGGCCCAGCAAGGAGCUCCCACAGCAACAGCUGGAUAAGAAAUGUUCCUUCUGCUCAGGUGCUGGGCACACAGAUAGGUGGAGCCAAGCUGGUGGUGGUGCUGCUGUGGGGCUGGCUUCCCACCUUGAAAGCGGAUGUGCAGAAAGGUGAAGGCAUCGUCUUAAAGAAGUCUUUGAGUGCUCCAAAGGUGGCCCAAGCCAAUAACUGUCCUACUUGCCGUUGUGAGACCAGUGUAUUCAGAAGUGUGGAACCUGGAACUCAAACUUCAUGAACACAUAGAAGGAGCAAAGAGUGAAAAAAUAUCUGUCUUACUGGCUCUUAGAAAGUAGAAAAUGACUUGAAGCAGUCAAGAUCUCUACCUCUGCCGAAACUAAGUAUACAGAGGAGGAGCUAAAAAUCUUGUCUUGGACUGAGAGUGAAGCAACUACCUACUGACUUGGCUGCAGGAGGGAAAUCUAGGCUGCCUAUAGUGAGAUAGUGAAGUGCUUCAAAGUGGCUCUUGAAAACAGCUUAUGUACCAAGCAGAAAAUAUGCCUGAUGAGAAGAACACAGAAGGAGAGAAUAUCUCAUUUUUGGAGCUUAUGAGCUGACUCAGAAAUGGAGAAAAAUGUGUCUGUUCAUCAAGAAUUCACACACCCCGAACCCUUCCUGAUAGCAGGCAAGCACCCACCACUGCUGCAGAGGCUGGAGGUUAGAGCAUGUACUGCAGAGGUAAGCAUACAGCACUACGGGUAUUGCAUAAAACUGAUGGAGAAGCCUAUGGAGGGCACUGAACACUCUUUCAACACUGGCAGCAGGCUGCCCAGGAACUGAGAGUGUGAGACCACACAGGAAAGAAGCAAAGAAAAUGUAACUCCAUAUUAGAGAAACAUCUAUAUUUAGCAACAAGCAUAAGCUGGAGGUUUUCAUGAGAAGGCUUUGCUUCAGUCAACAGUGGAAGGACUACUUCACAUUUAAGUGAUGAAGAUACACCAUGUCUGCAGUAGACCUCUUCUAAAAUUGGGGUCUGUGACAUAGGCAGCACCUGCCUCCUCAUCAGCACUUAUCCCGCUACAGCAUUAUAUACAGAGAAAAAUUUUUGAUCAGUCUUCCUGCCUCUCCUCCUACUUAACACAGGGUUGGCCAGGCCUUGCAUCUACUGGUUGUAUUGGGAUCAGUACUGCAGGACUUGGUGUCACAGUAUUUCAGGCACUUUCCACUGAAAAAAAGAUGCCAGACAAAUCAGCUGCUCGGUCUUGCUGCUGGAUGAGAAGUGGAAAUGAUGGUGCAUGGUGCGUAUGGUCAAUUUGCUGUAGCAGGAUCCACCGCAAGCAAGAUGGACAAUGGCCUCCCCAAAGCCAGGCUUGACCUGAGAGCAAGAAAUGUUCACUAGACAAAAGCCUUUGGCAAUGGAAAUAUAUCUAUAGAGAGGAAUAUUUCUGUUGCUCAGAGCUUCCCUCUGAAGGUGCCCAUUCCAGUGAUGUGAUGGGAAAUCUAGAAUAGCCAGAACAAGAAAGAUGCCAAAAGCAGUCAAAUAAAUACUAGCUCCCACGUCCCUUCUGGGUACA
rnacentral:lncRNA from 1 species